rnacentral:rRNA from 1 species
AUCGGAAUGGGUACAAUUUAAACCCUUUAACGAGGACCUAUGAGAGGGCAAGUCUGGUGCCAGCAGCCGCGGUAAUUCCAGCUCUCAAGGUGUAUAUCGCCAUUGCUGCGGUUAAAAAGCUCGUAGUUGGAUCUGCGCCUUCGGACUCGGUCCGCCCAACGGGUGUGAACUGGGAUCCAAGGCUUAUACUGCUGGUUUUCCCUUGAUGCUCUUUACUGGGUGUCUUGGGUGGCUAGCGAGUUUACUUUGAAAAAAUUAGAGUGCUUAACACAGGCUAACGCCUGAAUACUCGUGCAUGGAAUAAUAGAAUAAGACCACGGUUCUAUUUUAUUGGUUUUCGGAACUGUGAUAAUGGUUAAGAGGGACAGACGGGGGCAUUCGUAUCGCUGCGUGAGAGGUGAAAUUCUUGGACCGCAGCGAGACGCCCUACUGCGAAAGCAUUUGCCAAGAAUGUCUUCGUUAAUCAAGAACGAAAGUCAGAGGUUCGAAGGCGAUCAGAUACCGCCCUAGUUCUGACCGUAAACGAUGCCAACUAGCGAUCCGCCGGUGGUAAUUACGCCCCGGCGGGGAGCUUCCCGGAAACGAAAGUCUUCCGGUUCCGGGGGAAGUAUGGUUGCAAAGCUGAAACUUAAAGGAAUUGACGGAAGGGCACCACCAGGAGUGGAGCCUGCGGCUUAAUUUGACUCAACACGGGAAAACUCACCCGGCCCGGACACCGUAAGGAUUGACAGAUUGAGAGCUCUUUCUUGAUUCGGUGGUUGGUGGUGCAUGGCCGUUCUUAGUUGGUGGAGCGA